AUGCUGGACUGUACCUCCAGACUAGGAGAACCUGUGAUCUUCACUGUAACAGCUGCAGCAUCACAACACAGAGAGGUUUUUGUACCAGCAGUAAUAGGGAUUGUAUCACUGUGGUGGACUUUUGGUAGCGGCACCAGACUUGAUGUUGGAAGUAACAGUUCCCCCACCCUCACCGUCCUGCCCCCCUCUAGUGAGGAGCUGUCCAGUACAACAACAGCCACACUGACGUGUCUGGCCAACAAGGGUUUCCCCUCAGACUGGACCAUGAACUGGAAAGUGGACGGGACCAGCAAGAAGCAGGAGGCUAAUCCCGGGGUCCUGGAGAAGGAUGGCCUGUACAGCUGGAGCAGCACCCUGACUCUCACUGGCCAGGAGUGGACCAAGGCAGGAGAGGUGACCUGUGAAGCCCAGCAGAAAUCCCAGACUCCAGUCACCAAGACCCUGAGGAGGGCUGACUGUUCUGGGUAGAACCCCUCAGUCACACCCCUGUGGAGAGAGGCUGCUGGUUCCUCUGCUUUGACUCUGUUCUGAGAUCAGAUGUUCUCUGUCUUAUUGAUCACUGACAUGUAGACUAACAGAGGGCUUUGCUUGAGUUCAUGUGUCAAUCCUCUCUGUAGACUGAGGUUGUAUCAGUGUUAGAUGUGAUGUGUUCUGUUAUAUUACUAUUAGAUACUGUAGGAAUGAUUGCUUUGAUGCUUUGAUGAAUAGAUGAAAAUAAAG